rnacentral:rRNA from 1 species
UACGAAGGGGGCUAGCGUUGCUCGGAAUCACUGGGCGUAAAGCGCACGUAGGCGGACUCUUAAGUCGGUGGUGAAAUCCUGGAGCUCAACUCCAGAACUGCCUUCGAUACUGAGAGUCUCGAGUCCGGGAGAGGUGAGUGGAACUGCGAGUGUAGAGGUGAAAUUCGUAGAUAUUCGCAAGAACACCAGUGGCGAAGGCGGCUCACUGGACCGGUACUGACGCUGAGGUGCGAAAGCGUGGGGAGCAAACAGG